rnacentral:rRNA from 1 species
UACGAAGGGGGCUAGCGUUGCUCGGAAUCACUGGGCGUAAAGCGCACGUAGGCGGAUUGUUAAGUCAGGGGUGAAAUCCUGGAGCUCAACUCCAGAACUGCCUUUGAUACUGGGAGUCUUGAGUUCGGGAGAGGUGAGUGGAACUGCGAGUGUAGAGGUGAAAUUCGUAGAUAUUCGCAAGAACACCAGUGGCGAAGGCGGCUCACUGGCCCGAUACUGACGCUGAGGUGCGAAAGCGUGGGGAGCAAACAGGG